rnacentral:rRNA from 1 species
UAGGGAAUCUUCCGCAAUGGACGCAAGUCUGACGGAGCAACGCCGCGUGAGUGAAGAAAGAUUUCGGUUCGUAAAACUCUGUUGUUAGAGAAGAACAGCGCAUAGAGUAACUGUUAUGCGUGUGACGGUAUCUAACCAGAAAGCCACGGCUAACUACGUGCCAGCAGCCGCGGUAAUACGUAGGUGGCAAGCGUUGUCCGGAUUUAUUGGGCGUAAAGCGAGCGCAGGCGGUCAAUUAAGUCUGAUGUGAAAGCCCCCGGCUCAACCGGGGAGGGUCAUUGGAAACUGGUUGACUUGAGUGCAGAAGAGGAGAGUGGAAUUCCAUGUGUAGCGGUGAAAUGCGUAGAUAUAUGGAGGAACACCAGUGGCGAAGGCGACUCUCUGGUCUGUAACUGACGCUGAGGCUCGAAAGCGUGGGUAGCAAACAGG